rnacentral:rRNA from 1 species
AUUGAACGCUGGCGGCAUGCCUUACACAUGCAAGUCGAACGGCAGCACGGGAGCAAUCCUGGUGGCGAGUGGCGAACGGGUGAGUAAUAUAUCGGAACGUGCCCAGUCGUGGGGGAUAACGUAGCGAAAGCUACGCUAAUACCGCAUACGAUCUAAGGAUGAAAGCGGGGGAUCGCAAGACCUCGCGCGAUUGGAGCGGCCGAUAUCAGAUUAGCUAGUUGGUGAGGUAAAGGCUCACCAAGGCGACGAUCUGUAGCUGGUCUGAGAGGACGACCAGCCACACUGGGACUGAGACACGGCCCAGACUCCUACGGGAGGCAGCAGUGGGGGAAUAUCGGACAAUGGGCGCAAGCCUGAUCCAGCCAUGCCGCGUGCAGGAUGACGGUCCUAUGGAUUGUAACUGCUUUGUAC